UACGGGGGGGGCAAGCGUUGUUCGGAAUUACUGGGCGUAAAGGCUCGUAGGCGGCCAACUAAGUCGGACGUAGAAAUCCCUCGGUCCGUUAAACCGGGGAAUGCGUCCAUCUGGAUGGCUUGAGUUCGGGAGAGGGAUGCGGAAUUCCAGGUGUAGCGGUGAAAUGCGUAGAUAUCUGGAGGAACACCGGUGGCGAAGGCGCAUCCUGGGACCGACACUGACGCGAGGAGCGAAAGCCAGGGGAGC
rnacentral:rRNA from 1 species